rnacentral:rRNA from 1 species
CGGCAAUGGAGGAAACUCUGACCGAGCAACGCCGCGUGAACGAUGAAGUACCUCGGUAUGUAAAGUUCUUUUAUUAAGGAAGAAAAAAGAGUGGAAAAACUCCCUUGACGGUACUUAAUGAAUAAGCCCCGGCUAAUUAUGUGCCAGCAGCCGCGGUAAUACAUAAGGGGCGAGCGUUAUCCGGAAUUAUUGGGCGUAAAGGGUGCGUAGGCGGUUUAAUAAGUCUAUAGUUUAAUUUCAGUGCUUAACGCUGUUGUGCUAUAGAAACUGUUUUACUAGAGUGAGAUAGAGGCAAGCGGAAUUCCAUGUGUAGCGGUAAAAUGCGUAAAUAUAUGGAGGAACACCAGAGGCGUAGGCGGCUUGCUGGGUCUUUACUGACGCUGAGGCACGAAAGCGUGGGGAGCAAACAGGAUUAGAUACCCUGGUAGUCCACGCCGUAAACGAUGAGUACUAAGUGUCGGGUAAAACCGGUACUGAAGUUAACACAUUAAGUACUCCGCCUGAGUAGUACGUACGCAAGUAUGAAACUUAAAGGAAUUGACCGGGACUCCGCACAAGCGGUGGAUCAUGUUGUUUAAUUCGAAGAUACACGAAAAACCUUACCAGGUCUUGACAUUUUCUUGCGAAGUUAUAGAAAUAUAAUGGAGGUUAUCAGGAAAACAGGUGGUGCAUGGUUGUCGUCAGCUCGUGUCGUGAGAUGUUAGGUUAAGUCCUAAAACGAGCGCAACCCUUGUCGUUAAUUGCCAGCAUGUAAUGAUGGGGACUUUAACGAGACUGCCAAUGAAAAAUUGGAGGAAGGUGGGGAUUACGUCAAAUCAUCAUGCCCCUUAUGAUCUGGGCUACAAACGUGAUACAAUGGUUGAUACAAAGAGUAGCUGAA